ACCAGUCAUCAGCUCAUGUGGACUCUCACACCGCACACGAUUGGAAUCACCACCCACCAGUCAACAACUCAUGUGCAUUCCCACACCGCACAUAGCUGGAAUCAUCACCGUCAUUACCAGCAUGUGCCCUCCCACACCGCACAUGCACGAUUAUAUAUAUCACACAAUAUUACUUAUCAAUACAUAUCAUAUAAUCAUAUAUUUAAGUAUAUAUAUCAACAUGAUAUAUAAG
rnacentral:lncRNA from 1 species